GAGCCGGUGUCCCGAUUUUAUAGACAGCCCCGAUAGCCGGGGCGUUUCCUUAGAGGGGCUCCUGUUACUCCCCCCGCCCCUCCCCCGGUUUGUCACACGUGCUGCCUGGUCACCCUGGCCUCAGGUGACUCUUAAGCAGCUGGGCACAGACUGGUUGUGAGUUUUAUGCUUCGGGUUCACCAACCCGCGUAUCAAGUGUAAAUGCCUCAAGACCUGCAACAGCCUUAACAUGGGCCCCGGGGGGAGUGGGUGCGGUGCCACUGUGCACAGGCAAAACUCAUGCCCCAGCCCCAGCCCCGACCCGCCCCGGGGCAGAUCUCUUUGCUUCCCCGCAGAAAAUUCCAGGGAAGCCGCACAAGUGGUCACGCCCCCUUCCCCGGCAGCACAGGUGCCUCCUUGCCAGUGCCCAGAGCAGCCGGCCGAGAGGUAAAGCACCGCGGGGAGAGGGCUGGGGAUGUUGUUCACGGGAGUCACGUGCCACUCCCCCCCCCCCCUUUCGGUGAGCACAGAGCUGCCGGGGUGAUGGAGGGUGGCAAGGAUGCCGUUCUGGCUCGCUGACUGCAGCUGGAUGCCACCUCCUGGGUCCUAGUGCGGGUCGUUCUCCGCUUGUGUGUGUGCUGGGUGCCCUGCGUGGAUUCCUUCCCGGUUUCUGUACAAUGAAGUGAAGAGGAGCUGGUGUGCCAGGAAGCUCAGAUGCACAAAAGGAUGCUGCUCCUUGUUCAUUCUACUAUGAGAGGCCUUUACCAGAUAACAUGAUGUCUCUCAUUUCCAUUUUGGUUUAUUUGGCUGACACACUCCUCCCCCAGAACAGCAUGGUACUGUAUUGUUCCUUUGGGUUAAGUUUUGCUUUGCCUACUGCUAUGAAACAUUUUCCUGUAUCUUAUACUGUGUCUGGUGGGUAACUAACUUACUGCUGUAGGGGUAUGCUGGCUGAUUUUGACAUUACAUUUCAAAUCAGAAUUUUUAACUUUUAUUGAUCCCUAAUUCAAAAAAAAUCCAACCCACAUUAUCCAUACAUUUUAAAAAUGGAAAUUUCAUCUCAUAGAACUAAUGCUUGGAAUUACAAACAAGUCUGAUUUCUCAAAAAGGGUAAAUGAACAGGAUUACAGAAAGAAAGCAACAAUAAACUAUAUGUAUUGUAA